UACGUAGGGUGCAAGCGUUAAUCGGAAUUACUGGGCGUAAAGCGUGCGCAGGCGGUGAUGUAAGACAGAUGUGAAAUCCCCGGGCUCAACCUGGGAACUGCAUUUGUGACUGCAUCGCUGGAGUGCGGCAGAGGGGGAUGGAAUUCCGCGCGUAGCAGUGAAAUGCGUAGAUAUGCGGAGGAACACCGAUGGCGAAGGCAAUCCCCUGGGCCUGCGCUGACGCUCAUGCACGAAAGCGUGGGGAGCAAACAGG
rnacentral:rRNA from 1 species